rnacentral:pre_miRNA from 1 species
CUGCCGAUCAGUCCAGGGCUCAGUCAGCGGGGCCGAGUGGCUUCCCUGGCUGGCACCUGGACUUCGGCUAUUUUCGU